UCAAAGAUUAAGCCAUGCAUGUCUAAGUAUAAGCAAUUAUACCGCGAAACUGCGAAUGGCUCAUUAUAUAAGUUAUCGUUUAUUUGAUAAUACUUUACUACUUGGAUAACCGUGGUAAUUCUAGAGCUGAUACAUGCUAAAAAUCCCGACUUCGGAAGGGUUGUAUUUAUUAGAUUAAAAACCAAUGCCCCUCGGGGCUCUCUGGUGAAUCAUGAUAACUAGUCGAAUCGACAGGCCUUGUGCCGGCGAUGGCUCAUUCAAAUUUCUUCCCUAUCAACUUUCGAUGUUUGGGUAUUGUCCAAACAUGGUGGCAACGGGUAACGGAGGGUUAGGGCUCGACCCCGGAGAAGGAGCCUGAGAAGCGGCUACUACAUCCAAGGAAGGCAGCAGGCGCGCAAAUUACCCAAUCCCGACACGGGGAGGUAGUGACAAUAAAUACUGAUACAGGGCUCUUUUGGGUCUUGUAAUCGGAAUGAGUACAAUUUAAAUCCCUUAACGAGGAACAAUUGGAGGGCAAGUC
rnacentral:rRNA from 1 species